GUCUGGAACUUAUCUCCUUCUCAAUUCUGGACCGAGCCAAAGAACUGUGAUGAAAAAUUACUCUGCGGCUGUGCAUGUGCACGCGUGAGAGAGAGGAAGCAAGAGAGCGAGCAUGAAGACGAUGAAGAAAAGUGGAUGAAAUAGUCAGCAUAAAAGAAAGUCCAGAAAUAAAGUUGUCAGAGAGGCAUGGUGAGAAAUGUAAGAGGUGCUUCGGUGAUCACAGUGCUUAGUCAGGGCCUGGAAAUGCAGCGUCUCACACCUGAGAAUCACAGUUGGAGAGGGUGGAAAAACCUACUGCUGCCGCAGUUGAACAGACGCUCGCUGUAUGUCUACGGCAGUGAGAUGGCUGUGGAGAAGGAGUGCUUUAGACAGAAAGAGGGAGGUGUGUUGGUCAUCCAUCCCUUCAGUCGUUUAAGGAGUUAUUACAUCAUGUGUAUGGUGGCCAUAACAUUUCUUAAUCUAAUUGGCAUUCCAAUGGAGAUUGCCUUUCUGGAUGGCAACAGUGGAGUAGGUUGGGAGGGUUUUAAUGUGUUCUCGGACACUCUGUUCCUGAUUGACGUGGGGCUUAACUUUCGAAUGGGGAUCAUUACUGACAACAGUGAGGGAGCCAUUCUGGAUUUGAAAAGCAUUCGACAACAGUAUUUAAAAAGCUGGUUUAUACCUGAUGUGGUGGCAGCAUUCCCAGUUGGUUACAUACUACUUAUUGCGGACCUACAAUACCACAGUGACUCUCCCUCAUCCAGAGCCAGCAAAAUGAUGCGCAUCUUGAUGUUUGUGAGAAUCCUCAGUCUUGUUCGACUGUUACGUGUGUCAAGGCUUGUUAGGUUUUUCAAUGAGGUGGAGAGAGUUUCAAAUGCCAACUUGGAGGUGGUGAGGGUUUUCCUAAGAAUCUUGUCGUUAUUUAUGAUGAUUUUCCUGCUGUGCCACUGGAAUGGCUGUAUUCAGUAUUUUGUGCCUAUGCUUGAGGAGUUUCCAUCAGACUGCUGGGUUAGAAGAGAGAAUCUAAUGAAUGCCACAGUGGGAGAGAAGUACUCUUUUGGAGUCUUUCGGGCCCUCUCUCAUAUGACUGCAAUAUCAUAUGGUUCCUCUGAAACACCCACAAGCAAGGAGUAUACUUUUGAUCAGCUGAUUUAGUUAAAUGUUCAUUUUAUACCACAACAAUCACAAUGCACAACUGAUACUUCUUUUAAUACCUGAUUAUUGUUUUUUUAGAUGAGGUUGAGCUUUGGAUUGUCAUGACUAGCAUUGUGUCUGGAGCCAUCAUGUACACGGUGAUGGUCGCCAACACUGCUGCAAUGAUGACUGAUGUGGACAUAACAGCAAGAGCAUACAAGAACAAGAUGAAUCAUAUGGAAGAUUAUAUGACUUUCAUGAAGCUUCCCAAAGCCCUUCGUAUGCGCAUCAACAACUUCUUUCAGGCUCGUUACGCAGGAAAAUGGUAUGAUGAGAAGGAUGUCCUGAAGUGGGUGUCUUCAUCUCUCAGAGAGGAAAUUCUGAUGUCCAUGUGCUCAGCCCAUGUGAGAAAAGUUCCCUUUUUCCGGAACUGUGAUAUAAACUUCAUCAAUGCCAUGCUUCUGGAGCUGCAGUAUGAGGUCUACCAGGAGGGUGACAUCAUUAUCCGCCAGAACAUUCCUGGUGACCGCAUGUUCUUGAUCGAGCACGGGCAGGUCCUUGAGAAGAAUGAGUUUUUCCAGAGGGAAAUGUGUGAUGGAGACUGCUUUGGAGAGUCGUGUCUCCUAACAAAAGGAAAGUUUUUGGCCACAGUACAAGCUUUGACUAUCUGUCAGCUUUUUUCCUUGUCGGUGGACUCCUUUCAUUCUGUUCUGAAGGACUAUCCAGACAUCAGGAGGGACCUGGAGACAUUUCAACAGGAUAAAGACAUUUUGUUAUGUUGAGAAAAUUUCCAGAUGUGCUUUUGGAAUAUUCUGUUCCAGCUGGUGGAUGUGGGUUGAAGUAUUCCCUUGUUCUUCAGUGUACAACAAGCUUUCAGAAAAUGGACUUUGUAUAGCAAAAAAGGUAUGCCUUGGCAACCUCGUUGGAAUGGGAAUCCUUUAAGAAUACUGAUAGGGUGUUUUUAGACUGAUUUGUAGGCCACCUUCUCCAGCUUCUCUACUCCCUCCCUUUCCAAGUGCCCACAGAAGGAUAAGCAUAACCCGUGCUCUUACGUCACAUAACCAUGGCUCUUUACGUUUUCCCCUGUCUUCAUCUGAAGUAUUGAGAACAACACCCACUGGUGGCCUCCAUUUUCCAGUAGAGGGCAUUCAUUUUAUCUGACCAGGUCCUCAUUGUACUGUAGGUUUCUAUCAUAGAAGCUUUGUUUAAAACAGACAAUAUUUUUAAUGUUUUGACUAAUAUGUUUGUGCUUUCAAUUAGUGUGCUGAGUUAAAUUUUAUGUUAAAUAUGUCCCACAAAAGUCAGCAGAUUAUUUCCAGAAAUCAGCACAGUGUACAAAUUAUGUCGGGGCCCAGAAAAAACUCACCAUAAUUUACAUUAUAAAUAUUGUAUUUUGGGGGAAAGGGUAAAAUUUGCUGUUUCAUAAAAUGACCCAAAGGUUGUAGAGAUAAUUGUAGUUAAUAGGUCAAACGUUUAGUCACAUUUUAAAAAGAUGUAAAUAAAAUAUUCCUGAAUAAACA